UCUGCAGCUGCCGGCAGACGUCCCAGCCUUGUGAAAGGUGGGCUCCCUUCUCUCUGUUCAAGAGCUUUCAUCCCGCAGUGGACAGACGCCCCUACUUCUCGCAAAGGACCUUCCCUAGUGUUCCAGGUUUCCCCCAAGGGGCAGUAAGUCUGACCACCACUGCCGGUCUCUGUAGUCUCUGCUUAUGGCAUCACCCCACUGACGGCAACGAGAACAAGCCUGCACCUUCUAGUUCAUACCCGCUUUGAAGGUCACUGAGCCCAGUGGUUAACAAUCGCGCUUGUGCAUUAGAAUCACCUGAGGAGACUUGAAACCGGACUGAACCAGUCCCUACCCCCAGCCAUUAAAUCAGAAUAUCGGGGCUGAGGCGCCUUUCUCUGGAAGGGUGGCUGGGGCAAGGGGGAGCCUGGGAGGGGGGGGCUGUCAAAGCCAGUUCUCUUUCCCGCCCUUCCCUGCGGGGUGAGCAGGAACUGCCCUAAAAGGCAGAGGACAAUUUGGGGGGAUGAAAAGGCCCAUCCCUUGUUUAACCUGCAGCUGAAUGUAGGCCUGGAGCUGAGGCGGUUCCCUGGGUCUGUUAAGUUGCCCCCUCCCCUUGAAAACUGGGUCUUAUCAUUCUGUAACGGGACUCAGUGGAGCAGGAGAGCAUUUGAAGGCGAGUCUGCCCUGUUCUUUGGCAAGAGGAGGCCACCCUUUGCUCCAGGUAACUGGACACGCAGCUGCUGGCUCCUCUCCUCUGCCUCCAAGGGCGGGGAUUCCAUCUCUUCCUAACAACCCCAAACUCAUGCUGCACUGAGGAGGGCCCAGAACCUGGGACAACAGGAACACAGCACCGGGCGUGCAGCGCUUGAGAGGAAGAAAAGGCCUCUCGUCGGCAGGUCCCUACGUGGGCGGAGUCUGAGAAGCCGGCCUGGUUCCCUGUGGUUCUGAUGAACCUGGAGUCAGAGACUCACGCUGCAAACUUGAGAACACCCGGCUCACAGCUGAGAGCCGAGUGCCUCACGUGCACCGGGAGAGAAGUCACGCUCAGCUCCGAGUCUGAGGCCGGGUGGAGCGGGGGUGCCUCCUCCCCGGCGGCGGUCACAGCUCUGGACGGUGCGUCAGGAUGCGGCGGAUUGGAUUUCAGAAACCAAAGCCCGCGGCAAAGGGACCCUGGUAAUCACUGACACCUGUGUCCCCCACUGGCUGGGGCCUCUUCAGCAGCAGGGCCUGGCCUCCCCCGCCAUCCCCCACCCACGGCAUCUCGGAAGAAUGGCCACCGUGCAGCAAAGUCUCUGGCUGCGGUCACGUCUGACCGGCGGGCUCAGGUCAGUGGUCGACUGCCUUCUGGCUGUGCCAUGUGUGGGUCUCCUUUCCCAGCCCCGUCCCAGGGACUCAGAAGCAGUUCGAGGAUCGUUGGUCUCCC
rnacentral:lncRNA from 1 species